rnacentral:lncRNA from 1 species
UCAGCAUUCACCCUUCCAAAUGUGUCCAGGAAUUGGCUGAGGAAUGAUGUAAUUCUUGAAGUAUUGUUCUGCCCUGGAAGAGGUUUGCUCAUGCCUUCUGCGUUGUAUGAAGAGAACCAAUCAUGUUCUUAGUAUCCAAGCUGCCUGAUGAUAAAUUCCUCCUACCAUCAGAAGAGGCUGAGACAGAGAGAAAACCACCCAAGCAGGGCUGUGGGAUGCAGAUUACUGAGCAAUGACAUGUUGGCUGUGAUCCAUGCUGACCUGACAGAAACCACUACAAAUGUGAGCGACAUCCACAUCUGAACUCAGACAACCAUCUCUUUGCAAAUUUUUGGAAGACCUUCCUCUAAGUUACGAGAGAGUAGCCUGAACUGCACUUACAAAGUCACAAGUGUAUCCUUCAGAGUCAUUGCCAUUAAAACUAUGUUGCUUGAGAUGGUGCAUAUAUUCUUUACUCCCCUGAUUGCAUGAAGUUUACCCUCUUUAAUUGUAGAAGUUUAGUGAUAAGAAGAAAUUUAAUGUAAAGGCACACAAAAUCACACCAUUAAGAAAAAAAAUUACUCCCAUAGACUUGUUUAUCCUAAAAAUAUAAAAUAUGACCUUGAGG